GAGCUCGGGCUAUAUAAGUUGUGUAGGCUUAAGAACCAAAUAUUUUGGCAUCUAAUUAGCGCACACAUGGCAAGGAAGUAAUUUUUGGCUAGACUUAGCCAUGGGCUAGACCAGACCAAGCCGACGGUUCAAGUUCAUUAACGGGGGUAUAGGGGGCCGGUUAUGGUCCCCCUUUCCUAUAACCUGAAUCGGAACCCGCCCAGAACUGCCGGUUUCGAACUGGAAUUAGCUCAAUUCAAUUUUUUUUCAAUUUAUAUUGGGCUUAUAUUUGGGUCCCUUUAAUUUUUUUACACUAGAAACUAAAUAAAUAAUGUCUAAAAAAUUAUUAUAAUUUGA
rnacentral:misc_RNA from 1 species